UUAUUCAACAGGACAACAUGAAACCAUAUAGGGCCAGAAUAGCUUGUGCCAAAUUACAAGAAUUUGAUCUAGGAUAUUUCCCUGCCUCAUAUCAUCAAUUAUCAUCUGUUUCAUGCCUUGAACAGUAUUUUUCUGGGAAGUUUCAAAAUGUCAAAAGGUGCACCAAACUCUGUCUGAAUUUUUUUGGAUCGAAUUCCUGGAUUUCUUCAAAUCUGUCAUUCAAAAACUUGAACAAUGAGAGAAGGUUGUAAGCAUUGGGGGUUCUUAUUAUGAUGAUUAAAAGAUCUGUUUUAGGUAAAUUUCAUUUGUUUUCUUUACAUGUGCAAAAGCAUCAUUUAUGG
rnacentral:lncRNA from 1 species